ACUAAGUGCAAAUUUCACACAGCGUCGACCUCUUAUGGUUAUCAUCGAUUCUCAAAUCUCAUUCUACGUUCCCACAGAAAAUACAGACCAUUGGAAUUGCUAUAGGCUUUACUGCCGAUGGAAAUCGUCAAUCCAUUUGCAUUUUCAAGUCAAAGUCUGAUGGAGCAAGUGCGUAUAUAGUUGGGUGCCCCUCUUGUUUUGAUUCAUUCAGAUUUACCGAACAGUCCGAGUCAAGCUACUGGGUUUCGGAUGAACCCAUACAUUGAACUCUACAUCUGCCCUUGGGUGGGAGGCAUGAAGUCAAUAGUAAUUCAAAAUAUAAAGAAGAAAACAUACCAUGAAGUCAAAGACAUUCAACAUCUACAUGUGUUCAAACCUCAGAACUGAGUCUAGUUUGAUCUAAGCUAUGUGACACUAUCAUUACCUGCAAAUUUUUGAAGGAAAUUGUUCCAGUUUCUGGCCAAGUGCUUGAUGGUCUGCUAUUUUCAAUCACAAGAGGUGCUUCACUCGCAAGGGAGUGUGACUAGCAGAACAAGGGAGAAGG